rnacentral:misc_RNA from 1 species
ACCCUUCUCAGUGCUAAAUAAUCUGUUUACGGUUGACACAUCAUCGCAUCAGACAACAGCUGGCGAUACAUAUGCAGAUGUAUCAUGAUUUGAUAUCGCCUAAAUUCAACGGAAAUAUCGAAGAAAAGCAACUAAAAGCAGGGAGAAAAACCGCACACGUAGGAAACUCUCUCGCGUUCUAGUGACUGGUCUCUCUGUUUCUGUUUUUUGUCUCUGUGUUUCAGUCGUAUAGUUUUCAUAGAGAUGGGUAAAAAUGAUGUAGGGAAAGACGAUUCUCCAAUUCUGAAUGAAACUGAGUUAAGGGAAGACAGAUCUUCGCGUGUUCCCGACAGGAGGUUGGAAGCAGGAAAGGCUGCAAGAAGAGGUUUGAAAAUCACGGAAUUGCCACGGAUGAAACUGUUACUACUGGGGAUCCUUUGUGUAGGUAACUUACUGGUGGAAACCUGGAUCGCCGUAAUGGGACCGUUCUUCCCUCAAGUGGCCGCCAAGAAGGACGUAUCGUACACGGUUAUCGGAGUGAUAUUUGCCUGUUUCCAGUUUACUAUCUUCGUUUCGUCCCCAGUCUUUGGAUCUGUGGUCUCCAAAGUCGGUGCCAAAUUCAUGUUAGUUUCUGGCCUCUUGGUAUCAGGAUCAUGUUCUGUUCUGUUUGGUUUUCUGGAAGGUUGUCAGUCUACAAACACGUUCAUAGCGUUGUCUCUCGUCACACGGUCUGUAGAGGCGUUAGGGAGUGCGGCCUUCCUUACAUCGAGUCGAGCGAUCGCCAGCGACACGUUUCCUGAUAACGUUGCUAUGAUAUAUGGUGUUAUGAACGUUUUCACCGGUAUUGGUUUAAUGGCGGGCUUCCCGUUAGGUGGUGUGUUAUACGAGGUUGGAGGCUUCGGGUUGCCGUUUUGGAGCUUUGGUACCGCUAUAUUGCUUUGCGCUGUUAUAUCCUUCAUAUUGAUACCAUCGGCAGGGUGUACUUUCAAAUCGACCUCUAAUCGAAUAUUCUGGAUCUUUCGUUGGUCUCUUUAAAAGUGCAGAUAUCUGCAUCGCCAGCUGGUGUCUGCUGUGUUUUACCAUGAGGCUGUCUGUCACCGAUACUACAUACAGUAUCUACCUUGAACAGACAUUUGGGUUAUCUCCCAUGUGGACUGGUUUGUUUUAUCUUGCACCUGUAUCUGCAUAUACCAUAAUAUCUCCGGUAUUUGGCUGGAUAGUGGACAAAAAGGUAGUUUCAAAGAUUC